GAGUUUGAUCAUGGCUCAGAGUGAACGCUGGCGGCAGGCCUAAUACAUGCAAGUCGAACGGCAGCACAGCAGAGCUUGCUCUGUGGGUGGCGAGUGGCGGACGGGUGAGGAAUACGUGGGAAUCUGCCCAGUCGUGGGGAUAACGUAGGGAAACUUACGCUAAUACCGCAUGCGCCCUUCGGGGGAAAGCCGGGGACCUUCGGGCCUGGCGCGAUUGGAUGAGCCCACGUCGGAUUAGCUAGUUGGCGGGUAAAGGCCCACCAAGGCGACGAUCCGUAGCUGGGUCUGAGAGGAUGAUCAGCCACACUGGAACUGAGACACGGUCCAGACUCCUACGGGAGGCAGCAGUAGGGAAUAUUGGACAAUGGGCGCAAGCCUGAUCCAGCCAUGCCGCGUGAGUGAAGAAGGCCCUCGGGUUGUAAAGCUCUUUUGUCCGGAAAGAAAAGCGCCGGGUUAAUACCCUGGUGUCCUGACGGUACCGGAAGAAUAAGCACCGGCUAACUUCGUG
rnacentral:rRNA from 1 species